CUACCAAAAGUUUUUCAGGGGGAAAGGUUGUUUAAUAACCUUUACCAACCUACACUGUUUGGGAGAAUAAAGAAUAGACCACACUCCACAGUGGGCUGUAUCACUUAACAUAUAGUUCACUACUAUUUUGUGGCCUACAUU